rnacentral:rRNA from 2 species
UACAGAGGUCCCAAGCGUUGUUCGGAUUUACUGGGCGUAAAGGGUGCGUAGGCGGUCGGGUAAGUCUGAUGUGAAAUCUCCGAGCUUAACUCGGAAAAUGCAUUGGAUACUAUUCGGCUGGAGAGUUGGAGGGGGGACUGGAAUACUUGGUGUAGCAGUGAAAUGCGUAGAUAUCAAGUGGAACACCAGUGGCGAAGGCGAGUCCCUGGACAACUUCUGACGCUGAGGCACGAAAGCUAGGGGAGCAAACAGG